rnacentral:rRNA from 1 species
CCUACGGGGGGCUGCAGUGGGGAAUAUUGGACAAUGGGCGAAAGCCUGAUCCAGCCAUGCCGCGUGUGUGAAGAAGGCCUUCGGGUUGUAAAGCACUUUCAGUGGGGAAGAAAGCCUUGGGGCUAAUACCCUCGAGGAAGGACAUCACCCACAGAAGAAGCACCGGCUAACUCCGUGCCAGCAGCCGCGGUAAUACGGAGGGUGCGAGCGUUAAUCGGAAUUACUGGGCGUAAAGCGCGCGUAGGUGGUCUGAUAAGCCGGUUGUGAAAGCCCCGGGCUCAACCUGGGAACGGCAUCCGGAACUGUCAGGCUAGAGUGCAGGAGAGGAAGGUAGAAUUCCCGGUGUAGCGGUGAAAUGCGUAGAGAUCGGGAGGAAUACCAGUGGCGAAGGCGGCCUUCUGGACUGACACUGACGCUGAGGUGCGAAAGCGUGGGUAGCAAACAGGAUUAGAUACCCUGGUAGUC